rnacentral:rRNA from 1 species
AAGGUUAAGCCUCACGGUUCAUUAGUACCGGUUAGCUCAACGCAUCGCUGCGCUUACACACCCGGCCUAUCAACGUCGUCGUCUUCAACGUUCCUUCAGGACCCUUAAAGGGUCAGGGAGAACUCAUCUCGGGGCAAGUUUCGUGCUUAGAUGCUUUCAGCACUUAUCUCUUCCGCAUUUAGCUACCGGGCAGUGCCAUUGGCAUGACAACCCGAACACCAGUGAUGCGUCCACUCCGGUCCUCUCGUACUAGGAGCAGCCCCCCUCAGUUCUCCAGCGCCCACGGCAGAUAGGGACCGAACUGUCUCACGACGUUCUAAACCCAGCUCGCGUACCACUUUAAAUGGCGAACAGCCAUACCCUUGGGACCUACUUCAGCCCCAGGAUGUGAUGAGCCGACAUCGAGGUGCCAAACACCGCCGUCGAUAUGAACUCUUGGGCGGUAUCAGCCUGUUAUCCCCGGAGUACCUUUUAUCCGUUGAGCGAUGGCCCUUCCAUUCAGAACCACCGGAUCACUAUGACCUGCUUUCGCACCUGCUCGCGCCGUCACGCUCGCAGUCAAGCUGGCUUAUGCCAUUGCACUAACCUCCUGAUGUCCGACCAGGAUUAGCCAACCUUCGUGCUCCUCCGUUACUCUUUAGGAGGAGACCGCCCCAGUCAAACUACCCACCAGACACUGUCCGCAACCCGGAUUACGGGCCAACGUUAGAACAUCAAACAUUAAAGGGUGGUAUUUCAAGGCCGGCUCCAUGCAGACUGGCGUCCACACUUCAAAGCCUCCCACCUAUCCUACACAUCAAGGCUCAAUGUUCAGUGUCAAGCUAUAGUAAAGGUUCACGGGGUCUUUCCGUCUUGCCGCGGGUACACUGCAUCUUCACAGCGAGUUCAAUUUCACUGAGUCUCGGGUGGAGACAGCCUGGCCAUCAUUACGCCAUUCGUGCAGGUCGGAACUUACCCGACAAGGAAUUUCGCUACCUUAGGACCGUUAUAGUUACGGCCGCCGUUUACCGGGGCUUCGAUCAAGAGCUUCGCGUUACCGCUAACCCCAUCAAUUAACCUUCCGGCACCGGGCAGGCGUCACACCGUAUACGUCCACUUUCGUGUUUGCACAGUGCUGUGUUUUUAAUAAACAGUUGCAGCCAGCUGGUAUCUUCGACUGAUUUCAGCUCCACGAGCAAGUCGCUUCACCUACAUAUCAGCGUGCCUUCUCCCGAAGUUACGGCACCAUUUUGCCUAGUUCCUUCACCCGAGUUCUCUCAAGCGCCUUGGUAUUCUCUACCUGACCACCUGUGUCGGUUUGGGGUACGAUUUGAUGUUACCUGAUGCUUAGAGGCUUUUCCUGGAAGCAGGGCAUUUGUCGCUUCAGCACCGUAGUGCCUCGUCAUCACGCCUCAGCCUUGAUUUUCCGGAUUUGCCUGGAAAACCAGCCUACACGCUUAAACCGGGACAACCGUCGCCCGGCCAACAUAGCCUUCUCCGUCCCCCCUUCGCAGUAACACCAAGUACAGGAAUAUUAACCUGUUUCCCAUCGACUACGCCUUUCGGCCUCGCCUUAGGGGUCGACUCACCCUGCCCCGAUUAACGUUGGACAGGAACCCUUGGUCUUCCGGCGAGCGGGCUUUUCACCCGCUUUAUCGUUACUUAUGUCAGCAUUCGCACUUCUGAUACCUCCAGCAACCCUCACAGGCCACCUUCACAGGCUUACAGAACGCUCCCCUACCCAACAACACAUAGUGUCGCUGCCGCAGCUUCGGUGCAUGGUUUAGCCCCGUUACAUCUUCCGCGCAGGCCGACUCGACCAGUGAGCUAUUACGCUUUCUUUAAAUGAUGGCUGCUUCUAAGCCAACAUCCUGGCUGUCUGGGCCUUCCCACAUCGUUUCCCACUUAACCAUGACUUUGGGACCUUAGCUGGCGGUCUGGGUUGUUUCCCUCUUCACGACGGACGUUAGCACCCGCCGUGUGUCUCCCGUGAUAACAUUCUCCGGUAUUCGCAGUUUGCAUCGGGUUGGUAAGUCGGGAUGACCCCCUUGCCGAAACAGUGCUCUACCCCCGGAGAUGAAUUCACGAGGCGCUACCUAAAUAGCUUUCGGGGAGAACCAGCUAUCUCCCGGUUUGAUUGGCCUUUCACCCCCAGCCACAAGUCAUCCGCUAAUUUUUCAACAUUAGUCGGUUCGGUCCUCCAGUUAGUGUUACCCAACCUUCAACCUGCCCAUGGCUAGAUCACCGGGUUUCGGGUCUAUACCCUGCAACUUAACGCCCAGUUAAGACUCGGUUUCCCUUCGGCUCCCCUAUUCGGUUAACCUUGCUACAGAAUAUAAGUCGCUGACCCAUUAUACAAAAGGUACGCAGUCACCCCAUUAAGAGGCUCCCACUGCUUGUACGUACACGGUUUCAGGUUCUUUUUCACUCCCCUCGCCGGGGUUCUUUUCGCCUUUCCCUCACGGUACUGGUUCACUAUCGGUCAGUCAGGAGUAUUUAGCCUUGGAGGAUGGUCCCCCCAUAUUCAGACAGGAUACCACGUGUCCCGCCCUACUCAUCGAGCUCACAAUAUGUGCAUUUUUGUGUACGGGGCUGUCACCCUGUAUCGCGCGCCUUUCCAGACGCUUCCACUAACACACACACUGAUUCAGGCUCUGGGCUCCUCCCCGUUCGCUCGCCGCUACUGGGGGAAUCUCGGUUGAUUUCUUUUCCUCGGGGUACUUAGAUGUUUCAGUUCCCCCGGUUCGCCUCAUUAACCUAUGGAUUCAGUUAAUGAUAGUGUGUCGAAACACACUGGGUUUCCCCAUUCGGAAAUCGCCGGUUAUAACGGUUCAUAUCACCUCACCGACGCUUAUCGCAGAUUAGCACGUCCUUCAUCGCCUCUGACUGCCAGGGCAUCCACCGUGUACGCUUAGUCGCUUAA